rnacentral:rRNA from 1 species
UACGGGGGGAGCAAGCGUUGUUCGGAUUUACUGGGCGUAAAGGGCGCGUAGGCGGCCACCGCAAGUCGAUUGUGAAAUCUCCGGGCUUAACCCGGAAAGGUCAACCGAUACUGCGGGGCUAGAGUGCAGAAGGGGCAACUGGAAUUCUCGGUGUAGCGGUGAAAUGCGCAGAGAUCGGGAGGAACACCCGUAGCGAAGGCGGCACUCUGGGCCGUGACUGACGCUGAGGAGCGAAAGCGUGGGGAGCAAACAGG